UACGUAUGGUGCAAGCGUUAUCCGGAAUGACUGGGUGUAAAGGGAGCGUAGACGGUUGUUCAAGUCUGAUGUGAAAGCCCUCGGCUUAACUGGGGGAGUGCAUUGGAAACUGAAGGACUAGAGCAUCGGAGAGGCAAGUGGAAUUCCUAGUGUAGCGGUGAAAUGCGUAGAUAUUAGGAGGAACACCAGUGGCGAAGGCGGCUUGCUGGACGAAAACUGACGUUGAGGCUCGAAAGCGUGGGGAGCAAACAGG
rnacentral:rRNA from 1 species